GGAAAACAAGAAAACACGGAGUCUUCCGUCUUCGUAUUUUCUCCAUCUUUCGUAUUUCUCUUUGGACGUCGCUCUUGCGAUCCUCUGCUCCCUCCCUAUCUUCCGAGACCACUCUGAUCUACAAGAUGAUUUGUGAUCGCGAGGCUCAUUAGACCGCUCCCUCCUAGUUUCACGAUCGUGCACCUUAUCUCUGCUCUUAUUCUCUCUCUCAUCCCUCGGCUCAUACGAUUUGUCGUGCUUGUACUCUCCAUCUCGAGAGCUUUCUCGAACCUCGCGUCUGGAGGAUUUUUCGCGAGACUUCUCCUGCUUCGAAUAUCGUUUCGAUCGGCGGUGCCUUUCCUCCCGGUCUCGGGUUCGAUGCUUGUGGUCAUGAUCACGGUGUUCUUUGGUUGAUUGACAUUCUUCCUGGGAUUGUUUGCAGGUGGAGUUUCGACAUUGGACGGUAAUCUAUAGGAGGUGGAUCCAGGGGUGCUAUUGGUAUUUGGUGUGCAGUUAUGUCUUCUUCUUCUUCCUCCUUUCUUGUCAACUUGUCAAAUGUUUGAUAAAGGGUGUGGAAAUUGAGGGUUGUUUCCAUGGGAGGAUUGAUGGGUUGUUGUGGUUUGGGGUUGUCUCUUAGGAAUGUGGGUUUUGAUUUCUUAGGGAAUUACAUUCCUGGGAGGGGUAUGCAGAGACCCCAACCAGAGUGUACUGCCACACCAGGAGGUGGAUUGAGUUGCCUUAGAAUCCCUCUUGUUCAGUCUCUUGUUUGUGGAACAUUAGGAGAGUUGUUAGGGAAUAAUGAGAACCCCUGAAAGGAAAGGGAGAGAAUCUCAACUGUGUUUUUUUGUAUUAUGUCUAUAUGUCCCAUUAAUUAAUACUAUUAAUCAUGAUUUAUAGCUUCAUAAUUUAGUGCUUCAUUGAUUUAGUAGAUCCUGCAUUUAUCAUAUUUUACUUUUAACCUAAAAGAAUAAAAGGACAUGCCUAGAACCAGAAAUGCCCAGAAAAUGCAGGCUAGACAGGGAGAGUGUCUAAUUAGUAUAUUGUUUUGAUGGGAAACACUUUCAUUAAUAAAUCUUUGAUUAGCCAAUGGAAUCAUUAAUGCUAGGAUAAGGAGUAUAUGCUCUGUCAUGUGAUCUAUUGUGUUUUCUCUUAUAAUGAACAUUAAACACCAGCUCAUUUUCUAUCUAAGAAAUGUGGUACAUUGGAUUUAGGAGUUAUUGGUUGAUGCUCAAUUUUCUUCCUAAGCAAUGUAAUACAUUGGAUUUGGGCGUUUGAAGGACCGUUUUGC